rnacentral:rRNA from 1 species
CGCUGGCGGCGUGCUUAACACAUGCACGUCGAACGGCAAGGCCCUGCUUUUGUGGGGUGCUCGAGUGGCGAACGGGUGAGUAACACGUGAGUAACCUGCCCUUGACUUUGGGAUAACUUCAGGAAACUGGGGCUAAUACCGGAUAGGAGCUCCUGCUGCAUGGUGGGGGUUGGAAAGUUUCGGCGGUUGGGGAUGGACUCGCGGCUUAUCAGCUUGUUGGUGGGGUAGUGGCUUACCAAGGCUUUGACGGGUAGCCGGCCUGAGAGGGUGACCGGCCACAUUGGGACUGAGAUACGGCCCAGACUCCUACGGGAGGCAGCAGUGGGGAAUAUUGCACAAUGGGCGGAAGCCUGAUGCAGCAACGCCGCGUGCGGGAUGACGGCCUUCGGGUUGUAAACCGCUUUCGCCUGUGACGAAGCGUGAGUGACGGUAAUGGGUAAAGAAGCACCGGCUAACUACGUG